rnacentral:rRNA from 1 species
AUUGAACGCUGGCGGCAUGCUUUACACAUGCAAGUCGAACGGUAACAGGCCUUCGGGUGCUGACGAGUGGCGAACGGGUGAGUAAUGCAUCGGAACGUACCCAGAGGUGGGGGAUAACGCAGCGAAAGCUGUGCUAAUACCGCAUGUGAUCUGAGGAUGAAAGCGGGGGACCGCGCAGCAAUGUUUGGCCUCGCGCCUUUGGAGCGGCCGAUGUCGGAUUAGCUAGUUGGUGGGGUAAAGGCCUACCAAGGCGACGAUCCGUAGCUGGUCUGAGAGGACGACCAGCCACACGGGGACUGAGACACGGCCCAGACUCCUACGGGAGGCAGCAGUGGGGAAUUUUGGACAAUGGGCGCAAGCCUGAUCCAGCAAUGCCGCGUGCGGGAAGAAGGCCUUCGGGUUGUAAACCGCUUUUGGCAGGAACGAAACGGUGUCCGCUAAUACCGGGCGCUAAUGACGGUACCUGCAGAAUAAGCACCGGCUAACUACGUG